rnacentral:rRNA from 1 species
UGGGGAAUAUUGGACAAUGGGCGCAAGCCUGAUCCAGCCAUGCCGCGUGAGUGAUGAAGGCCUUAGGGUUGUAAAGCUCUUUUGUCCGGGAAGAUAAUGACUGUACCGGAAGAAUAAGCCCCGGCUAACUUCGUGCCAGCAGCCGCGGUAAUACGUAGGGGGCUAGCGUUGCUCGGAAUCACUGGGCGUAAAGGGCGCGUAGGCGGACUCUUAAGUCGGGGGUGAAAGCCCAGGGCUCAACCCUGGAAUUGCCUUCGAUACUGAGAGUCUUGAGUUCGGAAGAGGUUGGUGGAACUGCGAGUGUAGAGGUGAAAUUCGUAGAUAUUCGCAAGAACACCAGUGGCGAAGGCGGCCAACUGGUCCGAUACUGACGCUGAGGCGCGAAAGCGUGGGGAGCAAACAGG